rnacentral:rRNA from 1 species
GAUGAACGCUGGCGGCGUGCUUAACACAUGCAAGUCGAACGGUGAAGGCGGAGCUUGCUCUGCUGGAUCAGUGGCGAACGGGUGAGUAACACGUGAGCAAUCUGCCCCUGACUCUGGGAUAAGCGCUGGAAACGGCGUCUAAUACUGGAUACGAGCUGCGAAGGCAUCUUCAGCAGCUGGAAAGAACUUCGGUCAGGGAUGAGCUCGCGGCCUAUCAGCUUGUUGGUGAGGUAACGGCUCACCAAGGCGUCGACGGGUAGCCGGCCUGAGAGGGUGACCGGCCACACUGGGACUGAGACACGGCCCAGACUCCUACGGGAGGCAGCAGUGGGGAAUAUUGCACAAUGGGCGAAAGCCUGAUGCAGCAACGCCGCGUGAGGGACGACGGCCUUCGGGUGGUAAACCUCUUUUAGCAGGGAAGAAGCGAAAGUGACGGUACCUGCAGAAAAAGCGCCGGCUAACUACGU